GCCCGGUUAGCUCAAUCGGUAGAGCGUGAGACUCUUAAUCUCAAGGUUGCGGGUGAGUACUCUAUCCACAAUUGAAAAAAAAAAAAAAGAUUGUGCAAAAUGACUAACUCUACCCUGAAGGUUCGACCCCCGCAUUGGGCU